GGAGAGAUGGCAGAGUGGUUUAAUGCAUAGGUUUUGAAAACCUACAUCAAUAAAAUGAUCGAGGGUUCAAAUCCCUCUCUCUCCU
rnacentral:tRNA from 1 species